rnacentral:sRNA from 1 species
ACCUGAAAGAGUUAGUAAGCUGAAGCUGUGGCUCA